rnacentral:rRNA from 1 species
GAUGAACGCUGGCGGCGUGCCUAAUACAUGCAAGUCGAACGCUCAAGGAGGAGCUUGGUCUUCUGGAUGAGUUGCGAACGGGGGAGUAACGCGUAGGUAACCUGUCUCUUAGCGGGGGGGAACUCUUGGAAACGAUAGCUCAUACCGCAGGACAUCAGUUAAUGCAUGAUAACCGUUUAAAAGGGGCAACUGCUCCACUACUAGAAGGACCUGCGUUGUAGUAGCUAGUUGGUGAGGUAACGGCUCACCAAGGCGACGAUACAUAGCCGACCUGAGAGGGGGGUCGGCCACACUGGGACUGGAGCACGGCCCCGACUCCUGCGGGGGGCAGCCGUAGGGGAUUCUCGGGCAUGGGCGGAAGGCUGACCGAGGCACGCCGCGUGAGUGAAGGAGGGUCUCGGGUCGUAAAAAUCUGUUGUAAGGGAAGAACGAAUGGGAGAGUGAAAAGUGCACACUGUGACGGUACCUUACCAGAAAGCGACGGCUAACUACGUG